AGUGUAUUUACAUAUAUAUCGAAUAAUUUUUAAUAUUAUUUAAUCUAAUUUUAAUAAACGGUCGGCUGCCGACCGGACCGGGAUUUUACGAUCGUUGAUUGUCGAUGGUCAAUAAUCAAAGUCAACCUCUGCCCUUGUUGAAUGUUGAUGCUAGAUUCGCCACUGCUUGCAUGCAUGGAUAUAAGAGUCUAGAAAGGCACCUUGCGCCUUUCAGGUGUGUGCAACUUGUGUGCAGAGUUACCAUGCUCAGGUACAACUAAUAGAGUGAAAUUUCAAGGAUAGCAACCACUUUCAGUUCGUCUUCCGUUCUCUCAAUCUAAUUCUCCAUUUCUUCAAUCUUCUUAUCUAAAGUUACCAUGUCUUCAUUCUCACCAUUUUCCUCGUUACUAACUAUUUCGUGAUCAUAGCAGACACUAAGAGCACCAAUUGUAACCUCAUCUAGGAUAUUUGCUUCCUUUACCUCCUCGAGAGGUUUGUCCUCAACUCUCUCAAAGAUAUCAGAUAAAGGUAUUGGAUGGAUUUUCACAUUUCUUGAGUUAUCAGUUAUAUUUUUUAUUAUUGAUUAAGAAAGAACAUUUUUAUUAUUUGUCAAAUUUUUAAUUUCUAUUAUUCUUUUAUCCAAAAUGUAACUAUAUCUCCAUUAAUUAUAUCAAUUCAAGUAUUUUGACUACACCAUUUUGAUUAAAGUGACAUUUUUCUAUUUUUCCAUUGUUACACAAAGUUGUACAUUUUUGUCAACAAUAUUUAUAUUGUCAUCUAUGUUAGAAAUUCGUUACCUUCAAUUUACCGGAUCUUUCAUGUUGGAUCAUCAAGAAAUUUUAGAUCUGUAGCGAAAGUGUACCUAAAUCAGAAUAGUCAUUGCAAUAAUUGAAUCAUGGGCUCGGUCUUUC
rnacentral:lncRNA from 1 species